GAAAUGUCAGCAACUGACCGAUAGGCAGCCGGUGUGGUCACGUUUCUUCAGUCCAGAGGAGGACUAUUCUGUAUGUAAAUGUCUACAUUUAACUGUAUUGCUUGAUGGAGAAUGAAUCCUGCCACAAAGCGACAUCAAAGAAUGUUUGAAGGUUUGAAGGAGUCGUUGGACUCUAUCUCCAGCCCAGUGGUGGUGAUGGCUGCGGUGAAAACACCUGGACGGUUCACACCUCCACCAACCCUGCCACGGCUGCCUCCCGCCUCGCUCGCCGAGAGUAGAGAUCCGUGCUGACAACCAUCUACCCCGGCGCAGUUACCCCUCGCUGCCUGGGGCCCGCUGCCUUGUCUGGAGCUCCA